rnacentral:rRNA from 1 species
GUGGGGAAUCUUCCGCAAUGGGCGAAAGCCUGACGGAGCAACGCCGCGUGAGUGAAGAAGGGUUUCGGCUCGUAAAGCUCUGUUGACGGGGACGAAUGUACGGAAUGCGAAUAGUUUUCUGUAAUGACGGUACCCGUCGAGGAAGCCACGGCUAACUACGUGCCAGCAGCCGCGGUAAUACGUAGGUGGCGAGCGUUGUCCGGAAUUAUUGGGCGUAAAGGGAGCGCAGGCGGGAAGGCAAGUCAGUCUUAAAAGUGCGGGGCUCAACCCCGUGAUGGGAUUGAAACUGUCUUUCUUGAGUGCAGGAGAGGAAAGCGGAAUUCCUAGUGUAGCGGUGAAAUGCGUAGAUAUUAGGAGGAACACCAGUGGCGAAGGCGGCUUUCUGGACUGUAACUGACGCUGAGGCUCGAAAGCGUGGGGAGCGAACAGG